UUCUUGAAAACCCAUGAGAGGAAAAGAAAGCGAGAGGCCUGCCCUGCCCAGCCAUGACUAGGAGAUCGCGCUGGAGACAUUUCCGCGGGCGCCAGGGGAAGGGGGACCCGCGUUAAAGUGUGUGCUCUUGGACUCAGGAAAAAGACAUUUG